rnacentral:hammerhead_ribozyme from 1 species
AUUCAACUGACGAGUCCCGAACAGGAUGAAACGCGAUUCCUGGAU